AACAACAAAAACAUAACAAUAUCUCGUCAAACCAUAAACCAUAGAAAUUUCUUUUCUUUUCUUUUUUCUUUUAUUGUAUUCUGAUAUUGCUUUUGUGUUCAUUUAAACAUCUCAUACUGGGCUUUCUUAUUUCUUUCGUGUUUCCAAACAUAUGUUAUCUUCAAUUAUUUGGAAGUCAAUGGAGUGGGGAUAGGUCUGACUUUUUUUUCUCUCUUUUUGUUUUUGGCUGAAAAGCAGCUCUUGCAUCUCAUCACUAGUUCCAUCAAGACAGCUUGCUCCAGCUCUCAUAAGCCAUCUUCUUCAGGUGACAAUUGACCAUCUAUAUAAUAAUCUUUUUAUUUUUAUUUAUUUUAUUUUUCCAACUCCAUAUUUCAUUAUAUGUUCACUCAUGUAUAUAUUUCAUCUGCAAUAGAAGUAAUGAGAUCAUAUCAUGGUAGUUGAAGUGUACAUUUUGGGUAUCGCCUGCAUGUUUUACUUGCUGGUCAAUCCUUCAGAAACUUCUAAUUUCGCAGAUACAUAUGAGAGAUUGCCUAGCAGUAAUACCACUGCAGUUAGAUUGUUUUUGGAAUCAACUUGAAGAUAGGUUACAUAAAUAACUUAAUAGUGAAGUUCUUUGGUCAGUAUAUUGUAGUAUUAUUGGGGGCAUUUCUAUUCAGCAAAUUCCUUUUUUAUUGGGUGGGUUGGGUGGAUGAAAAAACUUGUUUGGUGGCUCACAAGUGGCCAUGAGAAGUCACUCUUCCUCAAAGUUGCAUCAACAAGCACCAAUGCACUGACAUGGUCAAUCAUUCAACUGUCUAAAAGAAACUCAAAAUCUCAACGGAUUAGGAACUGGAACUCAGAACUAUUUUCAUUACUAGGGUAAAGUUCAAAUGUUUUAAGUAGUAAUCAUACUGCAAUAUGUCCAAAUGCUACUGAACCCCACCCCAGAAAGCUUCACCUUGACCCCCAACCAUGCAACUCUGGUUCUUCCUUCAAUGCCAUAACUAUUAACAUCCUGAAUUUGUUGGCUAUGUCCAUAAACGGCUCCCAUAAAUGAAUUCAAUUGUCUAACUCUCUAGCCUGUUUACAUCACACCGUUUUAGGUUUUGAGUUCUCACAUGAUUAUUGUCUUUUCUUGCACAAAAGUUCCUGCAUUUUUUUUUCUUGGACUGGUUAUUCUCGUGACACAUUACAGAACUAUGAAGAGUUAAUUUUUCUUCUCUUUUAAAGAAAAGAAGUGCCUUAUACGGAUGUGACAAGGUUUUUGAUUAGAUUUUUCUAUUUAUGCUGUCCGUCUUAUAACAGGUUGUCAAGUCCAGAAAGAAGCCACCAAAAUGGACCAGUUGUUUACUUGGUCAGUGAUUUUGUAGUUUAAAGGAUCCCAUACAUUAUACUCAGAUAUAAAAUACCAUUCUUGGAAGCUUCUCCUUGCUUUUUGUAUGUAUAAUAAUAUGUAACAGCUAUAAUGAUUGUGAGCGGUAUAGAAAAGAAAAUUUUUCUUUCUGAUAAUUUUUCUUUUCUUUUCUUUUUACAAUUUUAUAAUAUUCUUUUAUCUUCACAUUAUUGUGAUAAAGAAUGUUUCAAUCAUGCUCAAUCAUUGGAUUCCCUCUCCAAUCUAGAGCAUUAUGCACCGGCAAGAACAAAGGUGGUCGGCGACCCGAAGAAUCAAAAUAAUCACAAUACUUAUAUGAGAAGAUGGUUGUUUAUUGAUCAUGGGUAUUUCAACUGAGCUGGCAUUUUCUUUGUUUCGUUUUUGGUAGGAUUGUUAGCUUCUACGAAUCCCACUCACUUUCUCAGUAGAGAUAGAGACCCAAUGAUUUUGAUCUAAGAGCUUUUGUUCUCACGUGCCUGACAUAUUCACGGAUAAAGAAAUGGAAAUUCGCGAGUUAGACAACAAAACCAAUUCACCCAGGAAAUAAUAAAUCCAAAUUUCACAAAAGCUGCUUUUGUUCGACUUACCAUGUGAUGCCGCACUUGCCCGUGCUUACAACCUGGCUCUCUCUCUGGACGCCUUUUAAAAAAAAAAACCACGUAUUCAAUGUUAAAGCUUGUUUUAAACAAAUGAUGAUCAUCUCCGGUGAGAGUAUGUAUGGUGGUGCAUUAUAAUGCUAGUAAAGGUCCCUGGGUCAGAGGUCUGUUUUUUAACUUCUCUUCCCUUUACGGCGCCGGCCAUGAAUUUUAAAUUUAUGAAAAGGCUUGCAAGAGUUCACGAUGCCAUGUCUUUAAUACCACUGGACUCAAGUUGCCUAAACGGGAGAGCUGGGUUACCCGGCAACUGACUCAUGUGAGUGGAUUAGUUAGGUAUGUUAAUACCUAAGGCCGUUCACAUAAAGGCAAGCAUCUUAUCUUUCAAGGGCAUCGAGUUCUGACCUACAUACGCUGCUGAUAGGGACCACCCUGUUUUAUGUCGUCUGAUGACUUAGAAACUCAUCUUCGCUUCCCUCUAAAUUACAAACACAUUUCCUCUAUAAAAAAAAAUUAAAGGCUAAAAAUUUAAAUUUAUAAAUCACAUUCUUGAAGCAUUUAAGAAUGUUAAAAAUGCGUUUGUGGCUGUAAAUCGAUUACCUCUUAUUAUCUAAACAAUGAUUUGGAAAAGAUGUGAUGGACCGCGGUCGGACAAAUUUUCAACGGACACGUUGGAUCAGUUUGAUUGAUAAUAUAUGGUUGCGAGGAACUUUAUGGGUUUUUCACCAAAAGAAGUUAUAAGCGCUUUUGCCUCCUGUCCCGUGAACUCUUUGUGGUGCAAUUUAGUGACCUUAUAACUACUUCCCAUGCAUACAACGAAAACGAUUAAAGAGCAUAUUUGAUCCACCGACACUCCUCUAGAAACCAGUCUUGAAAAUUUUUCUCUCAGUUAAAAGAUUUAAAAGCAGAAAAGUGGAAACUGCAUUACGUACUAAAUUCCAGACUUGUACAGUCAUAUGUUGAAGCUUUCAAUGUGGCCUGUGAUCCACCCAUGUAUCGUUGUUCUUCUACUAAUAGAACCAAAUUCAACCAUUUAAGAUCACCUUUCCGUUAUAAAUCUUCCAGAUGAAAUAGAAAUUAAGCAAGAAGAUUGACUCAAAACUUUGAAUCACCGCCACAAAUGAUCUAAAUUACUGAAAGAAUGAGAAACCACCCACGACUACUUUUUUCUUGAACGUUUUUUCCCUCUGAGAACUUUGACUUUCUGGAACCUACUGGGGCCAUAAUGGUUGUGUGUGUUCACUGUUCAGCACCCACCACCACCGAACCACCACUCGACACAAUUCACACCCACACCCACCACUGGAUCUGACUGGGUCCUUCAAAGCAUGGAGCCAGGGGAGGGUGUGGGCUGAGCCAGUUAAUGCCCCACCAGCGGACUCCAUACGAUAUUUUUCUAGGUCUUGGAGCGCCUGGUCAUGGGACCCACCCACCCCCACCCUUGCCGACGAACCUAACAAGAAAACCGUGCACCUCUCUUAAAUCUAGGGUAAUUGUGUCCGUAAUUUGCGUGGCCUUUUUCUCCUCUCACGCGCUUUUUAUCCCUUCCCCUUUUACACUUUACCCCCUAUCUCUCCGUCUGACUCUCUCUGUGCUUCCACCUUCUCUUUUUAAUACCCACUUUUUGCCCCUCCCAACCUCGCCAUUCAUUACUCAUUUCCUCCUUUUUGACCACUCAGAUUCAUUUGCAUUAUUCUAUUUCUAAAUUACACUUAUUUAUUUUUAUGUGUUUAGCAUCAAUAUGCAUCAUUUUACUUGUAAAUUAGUCACUGAUUUCAAAUUUUAACCGUUGGAUAUUUGUAAGACCGACACCCAACAUAAUACACCAACCCUAUUAAAUUCCGGAGAUUUCUUCGUACAAUUAUUUCACCAAUUGAUGGGAUGCACUUUUAUUCCUUGUCUCAAUAAAAUAUCUAACAUUCUGUACCUGAUUUUUUAAAAUAUAUAUUUAAAAAAAAAAAAAAAAAACCAUUUCUUUUUCUUGAGGUAAAAGGAGAAAGGUGAUACCCCUAUGGAAAACCUAAGGGUGGGUAAUACUAAUGGAGGGGCCAUGCCCUCCAUUCACUCCAAUUUCAAAUUCGGUUAAAAAGUAAUGUAUUUAAGACUAAUAUUAAAUAAUAAAAAAAUGAAAGGUGAGGCCACAAGCUGAGGUGGCUGAAAUUCAAUAGUAAAGUCUCUUGUCUAGCUGGCUUGGAGGUGUGCGAGUGUCAACACCCUUAAAACCUCAUCUAACGUUUGAUGCCACGUGGCAAAAUAACCUUGAAGUUUGGACUUUUUCUUGCGGUCAACAGCAACUGAAGCUGUGACAGCGUGACUGAGCCCUUGCCCACGUUGGAGUUGGAAACUUGGAACAGUGAUGACGACAUGGACCCUUAUCCCUCUGCCACGUGGAUUAAAUGAGCGUUACAGCUGGCCUCAGACGGCUGUCAUUUUGUCCUUCUCGAAUGGCUUCUUCUUCCAACGUGUCUCCCCUGUCCCACACGCUCCCUUGCUGACCUGUCAUCUUUAUGAACUGUUUAUCAUCUCCAUACGCUUUUUUUUCCUUCAAAUAUACUAUUUUUUUCGUUAUUAUUCCUGGUAGGCGCCACCGCGUCAUGAAUAAUUUUAGGAUAUUUUCUUUUUCUUUAAUUUUUGUUAAGUGGAGUUCAUCUACCCAUUCAAUUAUCAUGCUUCAUUAUUAUUAGUUUGAAUAAUAUGCACACCAUACAUCUAGCAAUAGAAAUUUCUACAUGACCCACAAACAUGGUGGAAUGAGAGAAAGAGAAACACACACAAAUUGGCCUAUUUUAAAAAUAAUAAUAAUUACGAAUUUUUUUAAUUAGCCAUAUUCUUUAUUUAACACUAUUAUUAAUUAAAAUUCAUUAAAUAUUUCAUAAAUUCAUGUAAUGUCAUUAUCAUUAUCUCUUUCUCAUGGCAUGCAAUAUUUUUGAAGCUCACGAUUGAUAAGUGAUGAAAGGCUUGCUUUUUUUUUAUUUUUUAUAAAUAAAUAAAUAAAUUUAUAUUUUGAUAGUGAUGUAAAAUAUAAUAGUAUAAUUUUAAAAUAAUAAUAAUAAUUAAAACUUGAUUUUCAAGUCACAGGGCGGUCUAUUUUUAAAAUCAUGAAAGUCGCUAGUUGACAUGAAGGUUCCAUGAGUUGGAAUUUUGGGAGUUAUAAAUCGCACCAAUGGGCGCGCCUAUAAUAAUAAUAAUAAUAAUAAUAAUAAAUAAUAUUUUUAAUAAUAAUGUCACCAAAAUACCAUUAUAAACAAUAACGGAGUCAUAACGCUGAACCGCUCUCAGCCGUCCGAUAGAAGGAUAUGUUAGAAAUUUGAGCGCCCCACCGUCUCGAGUUCCGCGCUUUUUAUCCAACGGAAAGCCACUUCGCCACGAAAGCGCGUAAACGGCGGUUACGGCCAUUAAGAAAUGGAAAAGAGGAGGGGCGUUAGGGUAAAUAAAGUCGGGGAGACUUAUGAGAGGCGGACGCGGUGCACCACAAAAGGGGUAUGAGCGCCGACGGUCCAGCGGAGCAGGACGUGACGCGUGGGCCCAAAACACACUUGUAUGGCGUCGCUUUCUUACAUCGGACACAGAUAUCAGCUUAGAGUGGGACCCGCCCCCUCUAUUUACUCUCUCCGCUACAUGUUCGCAAUUCACAUAUGAUGGUGAUGGUGAUGCUGAUGCUGAUGAUGCCCCCAUGCCCCAUGCAUUAUCAUGCUUUCAUGCACAUUAAGCUCUCGCCCAGUCCCCGUCAUUAAUGCUGUAACGUUUCCGUUGAUUCGUUAAGUGCGUUAAUCUGUCUUAUCCUUUGAAGUUAAAUGUCCAAAUUAGCCUCUCCCCAAUCCCCAUUCUCAGCUUUGAAAUAAUGAUUAUAUACCAGACAUUAGAAAAUAGGGCAAGGGACAAAGAAAUGUAAUUUUAUAAAAUAUUAGGUCAUUAAUCACCGAAUUAUAUUUUUAUAUUUGGGAAAAUAAAUAUUACAUUCUUCUUUUAAAAAUGUAAUGGAACUACGAAAAUGGGAAAGAGAAGGGCAAUAAUGUAAUUUCAGAAAACGUUACGCAGCAGUUCAUUUACUACACCAAAGUCUUAUGAUUUGACAAACAAGACCCGAAACAAACAAAGAAACAAACAGCCUCCCACUAUGGCACUAUCUAAUCUCUCCCUCCCCCUCACACCUAACCAAAAACACAAACAAAUUCUCGUUGCGGAAAACAAAAUCCCGCGAGAUUAACAAAUUCAAUUGAACUAUGCCGGACAUUCUCGCCGGUCAACUCGGCGGAGUUGGGCCCUCACAGACUCCCCCCUCUAACAACCCUCAGGAUUAUCCUUAUUCUUUAAAUACUUAACCAAUAUUUACCCUUCAAUUAAUUAAUUAAUUAGAAUUAGAGUGGGAGGGGGGUUUAGGUGGCUGAUUCCAAGCUUAAGCUUGUGGAGGUGAAUGGGAAUGGGAUUCAAAAAGCAAGAAUAAAGUCCCCCUCUUGAUAGAAAGAAAGAGGCACAGAAAAAAAAAGAAAAAAAGAAAAGGAGAGAGAGUGAAGAGAGAGAAUCUGGUGGGCUUUGAGCUGUGGUUUAGCUGUCUUCUGAUGGUGUUUAUUUCUUCUCUCACACACACAUCUCCAAAAAUCAACAACCCUUAGCCUAGCCCCCUCUUCCUUCCCAUAUCUUCAAUCUCUCUCUCUCUCUUUCUGUAUACAUUUUUCUUCACUCUCUCGCUCUUUCUGUUUUCUGAUUCAGUUCUCCGAUCAUCUUCUUCUGGAUAUCUCUCCCGCAUUUUGGACUCAGAUCUUAAGGGAGGUUUUGCAGGAACUCAGUCGGGGUUGUUUGUGAGUCAGAUGUCUGGUGUGAGAUGAAGAAGAAGACCCAUCUCCUCCAUUUUGUUCUUCUUCACUCUCUCCUCUUCUUGGGCUGCCUCGCUCUCUGUUCUGCGGAGCAGAUCUCUAUUUCCAGCCAUGGCCACCUCACUGACGCGGAAGUUAUGUACAUUAAGCGGCGUCAACUUCUGUACUACAGAGACGAGUUUGGUGACAGAGGGGAGGAUGUGACUGUGGAUCCUUCUCUGGUGUUUGAGAACCCUAGGCAGAGGAACGCCUACAUUGCGUUGCAAGCUUGGAAACAGGCCAUUCUAUCUGAUCCUCUUAAUCUUACGCUCAACUGGGUUGGAUCUAAUGUGUGUAACUACACCGGGGUUUACUGCGCACAAGCUCCGGACAAUUCGUCCAUCCGUACCGUCGCCGGCAUUGAUCUCAACCAUGGAGACAUCGCCGGGUACUUGCCGGAGGAGCUAGGUCUGCUAACUGAUCUUGCAUUGUUCCACAUCAACUCCAACCGCUUCUGUGGGACUGUUCCGCAUAAGUUUGCGAAGCUCAAGAUACUGUUUGAAUUGGAUCUCAGCAACAAUAGGUUCGCCGGGAAGUUCCCGGAAGUGGUGCUUCACUUGCCAACGCUGAAAUUCUUAGAUCUGCGAUUCAAUGAGUUUGAAGGAACCGUGCCGAAGGAGCUGUUUGAUAAGGAUUUGGACGCCAUUUUCAUCAACCACAACAGGUUCGCCUUCGAUCUGCCUGACAACUUCGGUAACUCGCCGGUGUCGGUGAUAGUUGUAGCGAACAACAAGCUCCACGGCUGCGUGCCGGCGAGUCUGGGCAACAUGGCGGACACGCUGAAUGAGAUAAUUCUGAUGAAUAAUCAGUUCCGAUCGUGCUUGCCUGUUGAGAUCGGAUUGUUGAAGAAUUUAACUGUGUUGGAUGUCAGUUACAAUGGAUUGUUGGGACCGUUGCCGAAAGAGAUUGGUGGAAUGGUGGAGCUUGAGCAGCUCAAUGUGGCUCACAAUAUGCUCUCUGGGAGUAUUCCUGCCAGUAUUUGUAAGCUUCCAAAUCUUGAAAAUUUUACAUUUUCAUAUAAUUUCUUCACCGGCGAGCCACCGGCAUGUUUGGGUUUGGCGGAUUUCGAAGAUAGGAGGAAUUGCUUGCCAGGGAGGCCGGAGCAGAGGUCCGCCGGGCAAUGUAACUCGUUUUUGUCCCGACCUGUUGAUUGUAGCUCUUUCAGGUGUUCUCCUUUUGUUCCUUCUUUACCUACUCCCCCACCACCCUCACCACCGGUGUUCCCCUCUCCACCCCCGACACCGGUUUACUCACCUCCACCGGUGUUCUCGCCUCCGCCACCGGUGCUCUCUUCCCCACCACCACCAUCACCGCCACCGCCAUCUCCUUCGCCUCCACCACCUCCAGUUUACUCCCCUCCUCCACCUCCACCAGUUUACUCACCUCCACCACCCCCUCCUCCCCCACCGCCACCACCACCUGUUUAUUUUCCGCCACCACCUCCACCUUCACCACCACCACCGUCUCCCCCUCCACCCUCACCCCCACCACCUUCUCCAUCACCGCCUCCCCCUCCCUCGCCACCACCACCGGUAUUAUCGCCCCCGCCUCCAGUUUAUUGCGUCCGUUCCCCACCACCGCCACCGCCAAAUUCUCCCCCGCCUCCCAUUUAUUCUCCACCACCACCUCCAGUUCAUUCACCGCCCCCACCAAGUCCUUACUAUAGUUCACCACCGCCCCCGCCGCCACAUCAUUCACCUCCACCACCUCCCCACUCGCCACCCCCGCCUCCACCUAUCUAUCCAUACGCAUCACCGCCACCGCCACCCGUGCAUUCCCCACCACCACCUGUCCAUUCUCCACCACCUCCAUGCAUAGAACCGCCUCCUCCUUCUCCACCACCCCCAUCACCACCUCCAUGCAUAGAACCGCCUCCUCCUCCUUCUCCACCACCAUGUGUAGAAUAUUCGCCACCUCCACCAUCACCACACUCACCACCGCCACCACCAGUUCAUUACUUGCCUCCACCAUCACCAUCACCCCCACCACCACCUGUGUAUGCUUCUCCGCCACCUCCACCAUCUCUGCCUCCCCCAGUUUACUACCAUUCUCCGCCCCCACCCUCACCACCUCCUCCAACCCCAUGUGAAAAUCCUCCACCUACUCCAUCACCAC
rnacentral:lncRNA from 1 species